UAGUGCUGCAAUGUAAACAUUGCAGUUUCUUUGCAACUGCAAUAUUUUACAUUGCAUUACUA
rnacentral:miRNA from 1 species